rnacentral:misc_RNA from 1 species
CUGAGUUUACUGCUCAUAACCCAUUGUGAACCUACCUAUAUCGUUGCUUCGGCGGGCGCGUCCUCCCCUGUGGAGGGCGCCCCGGGCCCGAGAGGGUGCCCGCCGGAGGUUUUAACUCUUGUUUUUGGCGAUGUCUCUUCUGAGUGGCACAAGCAAAAUAUAUCA